rnacentral:lncRNA from 1 species
UACAGUUCCUCCAAAAAGGUCUGUGUCCAUAACUGCACUGCUCUACUUUUGUAAAUAUUUCUACCUCAAUCUGAGGCCACUUCCCAACUAGCAAUCCAAACUGGAACUUUCCCAAGCUGUGUUGGUACUCUGAAGACAUCUCUGAAUACAAUGUUGUCUCCAAUAACUUUUUGUUGAACUUAAUGGACAAUCAGAAGAAGGCAAGUGGUGGACUUUCUGUAGGCUCUCAGAUCUCCUUCACUGCCUUCUCUCACGCAGCAUCACAGAUAAUGUAAUAUGCAAAUGUAGCCUCCUGUUACAAGAGUAGAAAAAUCAGACAGGCCUAUUAGAAUCAACAGCAAUAUACUGACAGUCAGAGGUUUAAGAGCACCUAACAGUUUAGCUGUAGAUUUGCCAACUGCAGUAGCAUUUUAGGUAUCAGCAGGCUUCAUUCAUUCAUUCAUUUCAGUUUGCUGACUGACAGCUUAGCAUGUCUAAGAGCUCCGCUGCCCUUUAAAGCAAAGGGGAUGUUCAACUGCAGGCUUUUCAGGGCAGCAGAGGUAAAUGAGGGAAGGAGACGUUAGGUGCCCCUCCAGCCUUGGAGUGAGUUAACCUUGGCACAGUCCUCUAAUUCAGAGAGGGUGCAGAAGGGUGCUACCCCUGGCAUCUACACUGGGGAGCCUCAGGGAUCUCCCGUAGUGUGCGUGGGCUGCAAACAGAGCAGGUGGGGCAUCUCUGGUGAACAGGCUCCAGGCAGAGCUCUCAGACAGGGGAACUGGUGCGCUACGGCCGCACCUUUCUCCCUCUGAACGCCACGUAGUUGGUAUACGGGCAGAGACUAGCACGUAGGAAUUCAGAGCCGUGGGUGUUCCCUCCCCUAAUGGGGCUGGAGCUCACCCUUGGGCAGCGCCCCUAGCUCCUCCCCACUUAGUAGCGUCGGUCCAAGCCCCUCCUUCCAUUUCCGCUGGCAGGAUCUGGAGCUGUCUCUUGACUUGCGCCUGCAGAUCUCUCAGGACUCGGCCCGACUCAGCCCGGUCCGGUCCGCUCCGGUCUAGUCUAAUGAGCAAGGAUUUGCUCUGGAACUUUUACUUUGGCAUACAUCCAGUUACCUCAAGUAGGAAAGAUCUCUGUGAAGGAUACUCACAGUAAGUUAAUCUAAUCUUUAAUGCUGCUUGCGUUAACAUUAAAGGGAGAUCAAUUUGACUAAGACCGAGCCCUUAUAAAACCUUGUUGCAAUCUGUUAAUUUCUUGGCACAAAAGAUGAGAAAGUUCAGAGUAAAAUGGUUGCUCAUGCAGUUGCAUUGAAGCACUGCCAAGUAACAAAGCAAAUGUAACGAGAGAGGACAGUAAUUCUAAUUGUCUGCUAACAUUGUUCUUCCUCUGCUUUCUUACCCGUGUCUGACAUUUGGAGGGAAAGGAACCAGGGAAGACCCUGCUAUUGGCCUGGUACAAAAUAUUAAGUCUGUGGACCACUUU